GAGAAUGUAGCUUAGUGGUAGAGUGCUUGCCUAGCAUGCAUGAAGCCCUGGGUUCGAUUUCUCAGUAUCA
rnacentral:tRNA from 1 species